CCUACGGGAGGCAGCAGUGAGGAAUAUUGGUCAAUGGACGAGAGUCUGAACCAGCCAAGUAGCGUGAAGGAUGACUGCCCUAUGGGUUGUAAACUUCUUUUAUAUGGGAAUAAAAUGUUCCACGUGUGGGAUUUUGUAUGUACCAUAUGAAUAAGGAUCGGCUAACUCCGUGCCAGCAGCCGCGGUAAUCCGGAGGAUCCGAGCGUUAUCCGGAUUUAUUGGGUUUAAAGGGAGCGUAGGUGGAUUGUUAAGUCAGUUGUGAAAGUUUGCGGCUCAACCGUAAAAUUGCAGUUGAAACUGGCAGUCUUGAGUACAGUAGAGGUGGGCGGAAUUCGUGGUGUAGCGGUGAAAGGCUUAGAUAUCACGAAGAACUCCGAUUGCGAAGGCAGCUCACUGGACUGCAACUGACACUGAGGCUCGAAAGUGUGGGUAUCAAACAGGAUUAGAUACCCUUGUAGUC
rnacentral:rRNA from 1 species